rnacentral:rRNA from 1 species
GAUGAACGCUGGCGGCGUGCCUAAUACAUGCAGGUCGAGCGAACAGGCGAGGAGCUUGCUCCUCUGACGUUAGCGGCGGACGGGUGAGUAACACGUGGAUAACCUACCUAUAAGACUGGGAUAACUUCGGGAAACCGGAGCUAAUACCGGAUAAUAUAUUGAACCGCAUGGUUCAAUAGUGAAAGACGGUUUUGCUGUCACUUAUAGAUGGAUCCGCGCCGCAUUAGCUAGUUGGUAAGGUAACGGCUUGCCAAGGCAACGAUGCGUAGCCGACCUGAGAGGGUGAUCGGCCACACUGGAACUGAGACACGGUCCAGACUCCUACGGGAGGCAGCAGUAGGGAAUCUUCCGCAAUGGGCGAAAGCCUGACGGAGCAACGCCGCGUGAGUGAUGAAGGUCUUCGGAUCGUAAAACUCUGUUAUUAGGGAAGAACAAAUGUGUAAGUAACUAUGCACGUCUUGACGGUACCUAAUCAGAAAGCCACGGCUAACUACGUG